CAAUCCCACAUGAUAGUGCUGAGAAUGCAUCUCAAUAAGAGUGAGGAUUACAUAAAUAAAUGCUUGAACAUUGUCCAAGGAUGUGGCAUACAAUGUGAAACGAUGCCGAAAGUAACCCGGUGGCGGCGCAAAGCGUUAGAAGAGAUACAUCGUGUACGCGACGACAUUU